ACGCUCGACACCUACGGGAGCAGCAGUGGGGAAUAUUGCACAAUGGGGGAAACCCUGAUGCAGCGACGCCGCGUGAGUGAAGAAGUAAUUCGUUAUGUAAAGCUCUAUCAGCAGGGAAGAAAGUGACGGUACCUGAGUAAGAAGCCCCGGCUAACUACGUGCCAACAGCCGCGGUAAUCUGAGCGGGCUGGCAAGGC
rnacentral:rRNA from 1 species